UUGGUUAAGUUAGAAAGGGCGCACGGUGGAUGCCUUGGCACUAGGAGCCGAAGAAGGACGGGACUAACACCGAUAUGCUUUGGGGAGCUGUACGUAAGCGUUGAUCCAGAGAUUUCCGAAUGGGGGAACCCACUAUCUUUAGUCGGAUAGUAUCCUUACGUGAAUACAUAGCGUGAGGAAGGCAGACCCAGGGAACUGAAACAUCUAAGUACCUGGAGGAAGAGAAAGAAAAAUCGAUUUCCUGAGUAGCGGCGAGCGAAACGGAAAGAGCCCAAACCAAGAAGCUUGCUUCUUGGGGUUGUAGGACACUCUAUACGGAGUUACAAAAGAAAGUUAUAAAUGAAGCGGUCUGGAAAGGCCCGCCAAAGACGGUAACAGCCCGGUAGUUGAAAUGGCUUUCCCUCCAGAGUGGAUCCUGAGUACGGCGGAACACGUGAAAUUCCGUCGGAAUCCGGGAGGACCAUCUCCCAAGGCUAAAUACUCCCUAGUGACCGAUAGUGAACCAGUACCGUGAGGGAAAGGUGAAAAGCACCCCGGAAGGGGAGUGAAACAGUUCCUGAAACCGUGUGCCUACAAGUAGUUAGAGCCCGUUAAUGGGUGAUAGCGUGCCUUUUGUAGAAUGAACCGGCGAGUUACGAUUUGUUGCAAGGUUAAGCGGAAAAAGCGGAGCCGUAGCGAAAGCGAGUCUGAAUAGGGCGCAUAAGUAACAGGUCGUAGACCCGAAACCAGGUGAUCUACCCAUGUCCAGGAUGAAGGUAAGGUAAUACUUACUGGAGGUCCGAACCCACGCACGUUGAAAAGUGCGGGGAUGAGGUGUGGGUAGCGGAGAAAUUCCAAUCGAACUUGGAGAUAGCUGGUUCUCUCCGAAAUAGCUUUAGGGCUAGCCUCGAGGUAAAGAGUCAUGGAGGUAGAGCACUGUUUGGACUAGGGGCCCUUCUCGGGUUACCGAAUUCAGAUAAACUCCGAAUGCCAUGUACUUAUACUCGGGAGUCAGACUGCGAGUGAUAAGAUCCGUAGUCGAAAGGGAAACAGCCCAGACCACCAGUUAAGGUCCCCAAAUAUAUGUUAAGUGGAAAAGGAUGUGGGGUUGCUUAGACAACCAGGAUGUUGGCUUAGAAGCAGCCACCAUUGAAAGAGUGCGUAAUAGCUCACUGGUCGAGUGACCCCGCGCCGAAAAUGUACCGGGGCUAAACAUAUUACCGAAACUGUGGAUGAACCUCUUUAGAGGUUCGUGGUAGGAGAGCGUUCUAAGGGCGGUGAAGUCAG
rnacentral:rRNA from 1 species